CAGGUUCUGCGGCUCCCUGAGACCAGCAGAUUCCUGGUCUCCGGGUCCCUGGGUCCCGGACGUGUCCAUCAAGGCGUCCAUUAGGGCCAUCACCUAAUGGACAAGCAUCAGGGAGACACUGGCCUGAGCAUAAGUCUCGAGGGUCUGCCCUGUACUAAGCAAGCGCUUAAUCAGAGGAUGUGGCUUCUGCGGGAGAGCUUCAAAGGGUGCCCUACUUGCCCCUCUUGGUAACCAUGACGUCAUGGAAAUGGGAGGGGACCGCCCCAGCCCCCAAACACCUGGAGGGAAGUGGGAGACUUUUUCCACUUCCUGUUCUACUUGUGGCUACUGACUCAAUGUCUGACCUGUUUAUUAAUUGCAAAAUAUAGCUCUAUGUGUGCUACCCA
ensembl:lncRNA LINC02332 long intergenic non-protein coding RNA 2332